AGUGAACGCUGGCGGUAGGCCUAACACAUGCAAGUCGAACGGCAGCACAGUAAGAGCUUGCUCUUACGGGUGGCGAGUGGCGGACGGGUGAGGAAUACAUCGGCAUCUACUUUUUCGUGGGGGAUAACGUAGGGAAACUUACGCUAAUACCGCAUACGACCUAAGGGUGAAAGCAGGGGAUCUUCGGACCUUGCGCGAUUGAAUGAGCCGAUGUCGGAUUAGCUAGUUGGCGGGGUAAAGGCCCACCAAGGCGACGAUCCGUAGCUGGUAUGAGAGGAUGAUCAGCCACACUGGGACUGAGACACGGCCCAGACUCCUACGGGAGGCAGCAGUGGGGAAUAUUGGACAAUGGGCGCAAGCCUGAUCCAGCCAUACCGCGUGGGUGAAGAAGGCCUUCGGGUUGUAAAGCCCUUUUGUUGGGAAAGAAAAGCAGCAGGUUAAUACCCCGCUGUUCUGACGGUACCCAAAGAAUAAGCACCGGCUAACUUCGUG
rnacentral:rRNA from 1 species